GGCAUGGAGCACAUCUCCAUAUUCAAGUAGGCUAUACAAGUAAUUAUUAAAUAAGAGUUUCAGCUUGAAUUCAAAGUAUCAUUUCAAAUUAUUCAAUAGGCUACAUUUAAACUAUACAAUGCUCAAUUGACAACAGCACCAAAAAAAUACUGAAGCCUAUGUGUAAAGAGUUAAAUUACCCAGAUUGUCGUAGAUAUUAAUGUAAUGUAUACCAGUUAUCACUGUAGGACAACUGAAACAACACAACAUAAACAGGGCUGGAAAUAUUUUAUUCCUGUAGGCUAUACUACCUACCUACAUUGCUGGUACAUUUUGGAACAGUAUAGCUACAUGAACUAAUUAUCCUUAGUGUCUUCCAGUUCCAGUAGCCUAUCGUAUAGUAUAGCCUAGGCUAU